rnacentral:lncRNA from 1 species
AUGUGAGUUGGACUCUGGCCUGGCCAUGGCCUGGCCAGUGUGGCCUGUGUGAGUUGGACUCUGGUCUGGGGGACUGCCCAGGCAGGGCUGGGGGCCAAAGUCCAAUCUGAGAGUCUCUGCGUGUGGCUGGAGUUUGGCAGCUGGCUGGGGUGAGCCGCUGCUUGUGGAGUUUCCUGAAGAGCCUGGGCUGCCGAUGCUGGCACACUCUCAGCUCCUGGUUCCUCAGGGCUCCAGUCCCACAGAUCCAUCUACUGCAGGGCCCAGUGAGCCUUUGGGACUGCCCUCCCUCCAACCUCCAUGAGAAGAGGGUUAGAUGGACAGCCUUGUGGGGGCAACGGGACACUGGCUAGCUUCUUCCUUGACAAAGCAAGGGUCUUUUUGAGACUCUCCCUCCUAGGUGGGGAAGCAGCAUGAUGAGAAGGAAACAAAUCUGACUUUGUGGGGGCUCCUAUGGGAGCCUGGACGCUUGCCGGAGCAGCCGGGAGCUCGGUGUUUCUGCUGCAAAUGGAGGAAGUUCAUAGAGACCCAAAGUGUGAAGGUGAAGCAUGCACAUGAACUCCGGGCCCGUAAGCAAGUGGCUUCCCUUCCCUUGGGGACCCACACGCAGACAGGCCGGAGGAGGAGGUGUCCUGCCCAUGCAGACAUGCCCAAGGGAGGAGGUGUCCCCACCACAGACACCAGGUGACCGGGUGUCCCCAGCAUGGAGACAGCAGAUGGAUUCCCACCAACUGAUCAGCUUUGCCAGGGCUUUCUGGAAGCCCGUUGGGUGGGAAGGAGCUCCCACAGCAGUGGUGAUGGAAAAGGUCCCAGCUCUGCAGAUCCUAGGCCCAUGAGACAGAUACAGAUGGCUACAGGGAGAGUGAAAGGCCCAGCAGCCUCUGAAGGACAGCAGGGCACCGUCUGCCAUCUCACCUGGCAGGGGCCCAGGUACCUGAUCACCGAAAGGCCGGUUUGCACCCAGCACCUGUCUUGAAGGCUCCCCCAACACACUUACCUUUGCCUUUGCACACCGGCCCUGGGCAGUGUGGCAAGAUGGUUCUGCACAGACACGGGCUGAUAGUAUUGUGGUCAUCAAAGACGGCCCCCCCAAUUCUCCCUCCCCAGUGCAACUGCAGACUACCCCUCACACUGAGAGAUGGACGGUAAAUCCCCGCUCCUGGAUUCCCCGUUAAUGGCUUUGACUAAAACAAUGCAGCAGAAGUGACAUCCUGAGGUUUCCACACUCAGAUCUUCAGAAAACUGGGCUUCCACUUCCGGCAGAUGGGAACCUGGCCGCCAUACUGUGAGGGAGUCCAAGCAGCCAUAUGGAGAGGCCCAGUCAGUGGAGGACCAGCCCUCCCACCAGCAGCCCAGCUGAGCUACUGUAGGAGUGAGGCCAUCCCCGCACCCAGCAGCACUCUGGGAGCAGGAGAACCUCCAAGUCAAUCCACAGGAUUGGGAAGGAUAAGAAAUGGUUGUUUUAACCCCCAGUCAUUGAGUUCUGGAGUUGUUUGUUAUUGAGCAACGAAUAACCAAAUCAGAAAUUGAUGUGGCAG